UACGGAGGGUGCAAGCGUUGCUCGGAAUUAUUGGGCGUAAAGGGUAGGUAGGUGGUCUCAUUUGUCUGGGGUGAAAGCCUUGAGCUUAACUCAAGAAGUGCCCCAGAAACGGUGAGACUAGAGUCCUGGAGAGGGUCGUGGAAUUCCCGGUGUAGCGGUGAAAUGCGUAGAGAUCGGGAGGAACACCAGAGGCGAAGGCGGCGAGCUGGACGGGUACUGACGCUCAACUACGAAAGCGUGGGGAGCAAACAGG
rnacentral:rRNA from 1 species